GGGGAAUAUUGCGCAAUGGGGGAAACCCUGACGCAGCAAUACCGCGUGAGUGAAGAAGGUUUUCGGAUCGUAAAGCUCUGUUAUUGGGGAAGAAAAAAAGACGGUACCCAAGAAGAAAGUCCCGGCUAACUACGUGCCAGCAGCCGCGGUAAUACGUAGGGGACAAGCGUUGUCCGGAUUUACUGGGUGUAAAGGGCGUGCAGCCGGGAAGGCAAGUCAGAUGUGAAAUCUGGAGGCUCAACCUCCAAACUGCAUUUGAAACUGCUUUUCUUGAGUAUCGGAGAGGCAAGUGGAAUUCCUAGUGUAGCGGUGAAAUGCGUAGAUAUUAGGAGGAACACCGGUGGCGAAGGCGGCUUGCUGGACAAAUACUGACGCUGAGGUGCGAAAGCGUGGGGAGCAAACA
rnacentral:rRNA from 1 species